UGCCUAAUAGACUUUGUCCCCUGCUC
rnacentral:piRNA from 1 species